UUUUUAUCACAGUUUUGUCCAAUACCUCUGGAACGCAUCCACGUCCGUUUUCUGGAUGAUGGAUUCGCAUCCCAAACCCACCGGAAACUAGGAGCUUUAUUGUAAUUUUCAGUAUCAUUCCCUCAACAGAUACUGGCUGAAUAUGUUCUACCUGUAGGCACUGGACUGUCUUCUGAGGACAAAGCCCUGAGUAAAAGUGAACGUGGCGUCUGCCCUCAUGCAGUUGAAAUCAAGCCAGCAAAACACACAUCCGUCACAUCAGCACGCAGCAAAACAGAAAAUUCUGACUGAUGCAGGUGCUGUGAAGAAAUACAAGGAGCUAUGAGCGUUUAAAGUAGGGGAUAGGAUCAAGCCAAAGAAAGAUGUCCCAAGAAAUAGUAAAAGCAAUACGUAUUGAAAACUCACUACGAACUAUGGUUCAGAGCACUUAGACAUAUUUUUUUCUCUUCAGCCACAUGAGACGGGGAUCGUCUAUUAUUAUGCCCACUCUAGAGAUGAGAAGGCUGAGGCAGAGACUCUCGAGUCGAGAGCUGAACUUGGAAUGCGCUCAGCCAAGAUAGGCAAGGUUAUGCUCUGCCACCAAGAAUCCCCCAAAUAUGAAAGUGUACUCCUUGCCUCCAUAUUUCAGGAGGGGAGAAUAAUCCAGAUGUAGGUGUCAUCGCAUGCGAAGACCUCGCUCGUGGAUGGAGCCUGGGCAGGAUUGCAAAGCAGGGGGGACGACAGGUCUGGAGCAGACCAGGAGCAGACCUGGAGACCGGCAAGGCUUCCCUCCCCACAAUCACAGGGGAGUCUGUGCGGCGUCCCAAGAGCACCACUAGAAUCAUGCAGAACCUAACAGCUAUACCACAGCAAGCAAUUCAUCUGAGGCCGACCCACUGUUCGGGAAGAGACCGCCUCCACGCUUGAGACCUCCAAGCCAACUUACUUCGCAUUGAAAUUUCCUUCUUCUUUGCCUUCUCAUUAUAAAGGCUGACGCAUAAUUUAACCAAAGUUUUCCUCCAGCGGCAAUCGUUCUAUCUUGCUGGGUCAUCCCCAAAUUGCGAAGGCACAACUGACGGCCAUAAUAUGCUUUGACGAACUUCCAUCCCCCCUGCCCCCGAGAACUUUCUAUCAAAGAAGUGGUUGAGUUAUUCGGAAGUUGAAAACUACUGAGAGAAGAACACAUGCAAGACACAGCCGGGCGGACCCAGUGUGCGUGGAGGAUGAGGAGUAAGUUACUGUGGUUUACGAUCCUGCAGGGUAAGAAGUGGCAGGAGAUGGGCUACAAAAGGAAUAUUAUGUUCCAAUUAUGAUAGCUCUUAGGCAGCAAGGAUUUGGAUUUCAUCCAGCAAGCAGCAGGAAAGAAUCAAUGGACAUUUUUGUCAAGAGAUAGUAUCCACUUUGUUGUUUAGAAGAAAAAAGAAACACACACACACACACACACACACACACACACACAAGGUCCGGUGAUGUUACAGAAAAAAAUUAACCGACGGAAAGAGGAAAACCGUUGCGCUCAUCAGAACAAGAGGUGAUGUGACCUAGUGUAAGGCAGUGGGAGCAUGUGAAUGGAAAGGAGGAGCCUUAGUUUGGUACCAUUUCUGAGACCAAGGGAUGGCGGUACUUAGCAUUCUAUUGAUGUGAUAGACGGUAGCAAAGGGUUUAAAGUGGAUGGAUAAUAGCUUCUGUCACCCAAAGAGGUCAGAGAAAAGAACAGAUGUUGCCAGUCUCUACAUUUUAUUUUAGCUAUAAUGCAUCUGAAAUUCUUAAGGAUUCUCCAAGAGGAGAUGCCUGUAGAGAGUUGA